rnacentral:lncRNA from 1 species
UCUGCCCUGUGAAGAAUGAGCCUGUCGCAGCAGACACACACUAGUCACAUUCUAUCCCACCACACACUAGUCACAUUCUAACUUCACAUUCUAUCCCACCACACACUAGUCACAUUCUAACCUCACAUUCUAUCCCACCACACACUAGUCACAUUCUAACCUCACCACACACUAGUCACAUUUUAACCCACCACACACUAGGGCACAGUGAACCGCACAGCGAUCCCACACCCACGAGUCACCUGCUAUUCCCACCACACACGGGUGG